rnacentral:rRNA from 1 species
UACACUCCUGCGGGAGGCAGCAGUGGGGAAUUUUGGACAAUGGGCGAAAGCCUGAUCCAGCAAUGCCGCGUGUGUGAAGAAGGCCUUCGGGUUGUAAAGCACUUUUGUCCGGAAAGAAAUCCUUGGCUCUAAUACAGUCGGGGGAUGACGGUACCGGAAGAAUAAGCACCGGCUAACUACGUGCCAGCAGCCGCGGUAAUACGUAGGGUGCGAGCGUUAAUCGGAAUUACUGGGCGUAAAGCGUGCGCAGGCGGUUUGCUAAGACCGAUGUGAAAUCCCCGGGCUCAACCUGGGAACUGCAUUGGUGACUGGCAGGCUAGAGUAUGGCAGAGGGGGGUAGAAUUCCAUGUGUAGCAGUGAAAUGCGUAGAGAUGUGGAGGAAUACCGAUGGCGAAGGCAGCCCCCUGGGCCAAUACUGACGCUCAUGCACGAAAGCGUGGGGAGCAAACAGGAUUAGAAACCCCUGUAGUCCCAUGA